GACGAACGCUGGCGGCGUGCUUAACACAUGCAAGUCGAACGGAAAGGCCCUGCUUUUGUGGGGUGCUCGAGUGGCGAACGGGUGAGUAACACGUGAGUAACCUGCCCUUGACUUUGGGAUAACUUCAGGAAACUGGGGCUAAUACCGUAUAGGAGCUCCUGCUGCAUGGUGGGGGUUGGAAAGUUUCGGCGGUUGGGGAUGGACUCGCGGCUUAUCAGCUUGUUGGUGGGGUAGUGGCUUACCAAGGCUUUGACGGGUAGCCGGCCUGAGAGGGUGACCGGCGACAUUGGGACUGAGAUACGGCCCAGACUCCUACGGGAGGCAGCAGUGGGGAAUAUUGCACAAUGGGCGGAAGCCUGAUGCAGCAACGCCGCGUGCGGGAUGACGGCCUUCGGGGUGUAAACCGCUUUAGCCUGUGACGAAGCGUGAGUGACGGUAAUGAGUAAAGAAGCACCGGCUAACUACGUG
rnacentral:rRNA from 1 species